rnacentral:rRNA from 1 species
GACGAACGCUGGCGGCGUGCUUAACACAUGCAAGUCGAACGGAAAGGCCCUUCGGGGUACUCGAGUGGCGAACGGGUGAGUAACACGUGGGUGAUCUGCCCUGCACUUUGGGAUAAGCCUGGGAAACUGGGUCUAAUACCGAAUAGGACCACGCGCUUCAUGGUGUGUGGUGGAAAGCUUUUGCGGUGUGGGAUGGGCCCGCGGCCUAUCAGCUUGUUGGUGGGGUAAUGGCCUACCAAGGCGACGACGGGUAGCCGGCCUGAGAGGGUGACCGGCCACACUGGGACUGAGAUACGGCCCAGACUCCUACGGGAGGCAGCAGUGGGGAAUAUUGCACAAUGNGCGCAAGCCUGAUGCAGCGACGCCGCGUGAGGGAUGACGGCCUUCGGGUUGUAAACCUCUUUCAAUAGGGACGAAGCGCAAGUGACGGUACCUAUAGAAGAAGCACCGGCCAACUACGUGCCAGCAGCCGCGGUAAUACGUAAGGUGCGAGCGUUGUCCGGAAUUACUGGGCGUAAAGAGCUCGUAGGUGGUCUGUCGCGUUGUUCGUGAAAACUCACAGCUUAACUGUGGGCGUGCGGGCGAUACGGGCAGACUAGAGUACUGCAGGGGAGACUGGAAUUCCUGGUGUAGCGGUGGAAUGCGCAGAUAUCAGGAGGAACACCGGUGGCGAAGGCGGGUCUCUGGGCAGUAACUGACGCUGAGGAGCGAAAGCGUGGGGAGCGAACAGGAUUAGAUACCCUGGUAGUCCACGCCGUAAACGGUGGGUACUAGGUGUGGGUUCCUUCCUUGGGAUCCGUGCCGUAGCUAACGCAUUAAGUACCCCGCCUGGGGAGUACGGCCGCAAGGCUAAAACUCAAAGGAAUUGACGGGGGCCCGCACAAGCGGCGGAGCAUGUGGAUUAAUUCGAUGCAACGCGAAGAACCUUACCUGGGUUUGACAUGCACAGGACGCCGGCAGAGAUGUCGGUUCCCUUGUGGCCUGUGUGCAGGUGGUGCAUGGCUGUCGUCAGCUCGUGUCGUGAGAUGUUGGGUUAAGUCCCGCAACGAGCGCAACCCUUGUCCUAUGUUGCCAGCGGGUUAUGCCGGGGACUCGUAGGAGACUGCCGGGGUCAACUCGGAGGAAGGUGGGGAUGACGUCAAGUCAUCAUGCCCCUUAUGUCCAGGGCUUCACACAUGCUACAAUGGCCGGUACAAAGGGCUGCGAUGCCGUGAGGUGGAGCGAAUCCUUUCAAAGCCGGUCUCAGUUCGGAUCGGGGUCUGCAACUCGACCCCGUGAAGUCGGAGUCGCUAGUAAUCGCAGAUCAGCAACGCUGCGGUGAAUACGUUCCCGGGCCU